AUGGGCUGACAAAGAAGAAGGACUUAUCGCAAUCUCAGGUACAACGGCUAGUUGGAAAGCCUUUCAAUUCAAGCCAAUCUCUUGAUUCACAUGAAUGUGAAACCAUUGCAACCGAUCAUGCAUACCAAUCAUCCGCCGCUUACAGUUCUGGCACUAAGCCAAGGUUUCUAUGGAUUCAGUCCUGUGGAAAAAUACAUAUUUAUUUUAGGGAAAUUCAGUUAGUAGUUUCACCGGGAAAUCCUUGGGACACUAGCGAGUCCGUCCUUAAAAGCCCUAAAAAUUGGGUACAUGAAGCUUUAGAUACUCCAAGUUGGGCAAGCUUGGAUGCCCCUACUCCCAACAAGUUGCUGGUCGGGAUCGUGAAACUAUCGUUGUUUGGUCAUAAGGAUAAUAGUUCUUAUCUUAUUAGGUCAGGGGCGGGCGGCCCGGGGGUUACCCGCGAUUGGUAA